rnacentral:lncRNA from 1 species
UGAACUCCUGAAACAAUCGCUAUCCGCUGUUCGGGAGCCUUGUUCCUUCUCUCACAGCAUCACGCGUCUAUCUUCCUCUUCCACGGGCGUUCACAGGUCUCCUGCGGUGAAAAACGAACCACCCACGGGUUCGUUCCCAUGAGAACCAGGCCACCACAGCCCACUGUUGACCAUUAGGCCUUUAAAGGCCUUAAAACCCUCUUAGAAACUGAUUAGGACUCACAAUCAAGGCAAAAAAAAAAUAUUUCGGACCGUUGGAUCAAGAUCGCAAGCUACC